UGUAUAAUGGGUCAGCGACUUAUAUUCUGUAGCAAGGUUAACCGAAUAGGGGAGCCGAAGGGAAACCGAGUCUUAACUGGGCGUUAAGUUGCAGGGUAUAGACCCGAAACCCGGUGAUCUAGCCAUGGGCAGGUUGAAGGUUGGGUAACACUAACUGGAGGACCGAACCGACUAAUGUUGAAAAAUUAGCGGAUGACUUGUGGCUGGGGGUGAAAGGCCAAUCAAACCGGGAGAUAGCUGGUUCUCCCCGAAAGCUAUUUAGGUAGCGCCUCGUGAAUUCAUCUCCGGGGGUAGAGCACUGUUUCGGCAAGGGGGUCAUCCCGACUUACCAACCCGAUGCAAACUGCGAAUACCGGAGAAUGUUAUCACGGGAGACACACGGCGGGUGCUAACGUCCGUCGUGAAGAGGGAAACAACCCAGACCGCCAGCUAAGGUCCCAAAGUCAUGGUUAAGUGGGAAACGAUGUGGGAAGGCCCAGACAGCCAGGAUGUUGGCUUAGAAGCAGCCAUCAUUUAAAGAAAGCGUAAUAGCUCACUGGUCGAGUCGGCCUGCGCGGAAGAUGUAACGGGGCUAAACCAUGCACCGAAGCUGCGGCAGCGACGCUUAUGCGUUGUUGGGUAGGGGAGCGUUCUGUAAGCCUGCGAAGGUGUGCUGUGAGGCAUGCUGGAGGUAUCAGAAGUGCGAAUGCUGACAUAAGUAACGAUAAAGCGGGUGAAAAGCCCGCUCGCCGGAAGACCAAGGGUUCCUGUCCAACGUUAAUCGGGGCAGGGUGAGUCGACCCCUAAGGCGAGGCCGAAAGGCGUAGUCGAUGGGAAACAGGUUAAUAUUCCUGUACUUGGUGUUACUGCGAAGGGGGGACGGAGAAGGCUAUGUUGGCCGGGCGACGGUUGUCCCGGUUUAAGCGUGUAGGCUGGUUUUCCAGGCAAAUCCGGAAAAUCAAGGCUGAGGCGUGAUGACGAGGCACUACGGUGCUGAAGCAACAAAUGCCCUGCUUCCAGGAAAAGCCUCUAAGCAUCAGGUAACAUCAAAUCGUACCCCAAACCGACACAGGUGGUCAGGUAGAGAAUACCAAGGCGCUUGAGAGAACUCGGGUGAAGGAACUAGGCAAAAUGGUGCCGUAACUUCGGGAGAAGGCACGCUGAUAUGUAGGUGAGGUCCCUCGCGGAUGGAGCUGAAAUCAGUCGAAGAUACCAGCUGGCUGCAACUGUUUAUUAAAAACACAGCACUGUGCAAACACGAAAGUGGACGUAUACGGUGUGACGCCUGCCCGGUGCCGGAAGGUUAAUUGAUGGGGUUAGCGCAAGCGAAGCUCUUGAUCGAAGCCCCGGUAAACGGCGGCCGUAACUAUAACGGUCCUAAGGUAGCGAAAUUCCUUGUCGGGUAAGUUCCGACCUGCACGAAUGGCGUAAUGAUGGCCAGGCUGUCUCCACCCGAGACUCAGUGAAAUUGAACUCGCUGUGAAGAUGCAGUGUACCCGCGGCAAGACGGAAAGACCCCGUGAACCUUUACUAUAGCUUGACACUGAACAUUGAGCCUUGAUGUGUAGGAUAGGUGGGAGGCUUAGAAGUGUGGACGCCAGUCUGCAUGGAGCCGACCUUGAAAUACCACCCUUUAAUGUUUGAUGUUCUAACGUUGACCCGUAAUCCGGGUUGCGGACAGUGUCUGGUGGGUAGUUUGACUGGGGCGGUCUCCUCCUAAAGAGUAACGGAGGAGCACGAAGGUUGGCUAAUCCUGGUCGGACAUCAGGAGGUUAGUGCAAUGGCAUAAGCCAGCUUGACUGCGAGCGUGACGGCGCGAGCAGGUGCGAAAGCAGGUCAUAGUGAUCCGGUGGUUCUGAAUGGAAGGGCCAUCGCUCAACGGAUAAAAGGUACUCCGGGGAUAACAGGCUGAUACCGCCCAAGAGUUCAUAUCGACGGCGGUGUUUGGCACCUCGAUGUCGGCUCAUCACAUCCUGGGGCUGAAGUAGGUCCCAAGGGUAUGGCUGUUCGCCAUUUAAAGUGGUACGCGAGCUGGGUUUAGAACGUCGUGAGACAGUUCGGUCCCUAUCUGCCGUGGGCGCUGGAGAACUGAGGGGGGCUGCUCCUAGUACGAGAGGACCGGAGUGGACGCAUCACUGGUGUUCGGGUUG
rnacentral:rRNA from 1 species